GAAAAAAAGAAUAAGAAUAAAAAAGAAAGAAAACAUGCAGUAACAAAAAGAAAGAAAGAAAGAAAGGAGAAAAAAAAUAAUGCAUUUUGUGGUUUAUUGGACCCUCAAAGAGAAUCCAUUAGGUAAAAAAAGAGCACAAGAUAAAAGCCAAAAAAAGGAAGUUCUCUGAAAAAUCAAUGCACAGAGGAGGCAUGGGUCUCGAGGGUAGAAAACGGUUCAACCGACGACGCCAUUUGGCAAUUCUUUCAGAGAAGGAAGAAGGGUCCCCAGGUUGCUGAAUUAUUGACAAUCAAAAUUUCUAUUCCUUGGAACAUGGGGUCGAACCAAGCAUAGUCUUUUACGAAAGCUUUUUAUCAAGUCAAGGUAUAAGUGUGGAAGUAGCCAACUUGAGAAAGUUGGGGCAGAAGAUGGAUUGGGUUUACAUAGCCUCUUUGACUACUACCAACAUAUGAUUGAGCUAAUGACUUAAAAAAUUAGGAACCGCUGAUGUGCCCAUGUUUUAUUUCUAGUUGCACUUUGACUCUGACAGGAUGUAAUAAACAAUGUUGUUUUAGUGAAAAUUAAAGUUGAUUCAA